rnacentral:rRNA from 1 species
UACGUAGGGGCCAAGCGUUGUCCGGAUUUAUUGGGCGUAAAGAGCUCGUAGGUGGUUGGGUAAGUCGGGUGUGAAAACUCCAGGCUCAACUUGGAGAUGCCACCCGAUACUGCUCUGACUUGAGUUCGGUAGGGGAGUGGGGAAUUCCUGGUGUAGCGGUGAAAUGCGUAGAUAUCGGAAGGAACAUCAGUGGCGAAAGCGACUUCCUGGACCAAUACUGACGCUCAUGUGCGAAAGCGUGGGGAGCAAACAGG